AACGAACGCUGGCGGCGUGCUUAACACAUGCAAGUCGAACGCGAAAUUUUUUCUUCGGAGAAAAGAGUAGAGUGGCGCACGGGUGAGUAACGCGUAAGUUAUCUACCCUCCCAUCUGGAAUAACUCACCGAAAGGUGUGCUAAUACCGGAUACGUUGAUUUAUCAAGAAAGGUGGCCUCUGUUUCAUGCUACCGUGGGGGGAUGAGCUUGCGUACCAUUAGCUAGUUGGUAGGGUAAUGGCCUACCAANGCAACGAUGGUUAGCGGGUCUGAGAGGAUGAUCCGCCACACUGGAACUGGAACACGGACCAGACUCCUACGGGAGGCAGCAGUGAGGAAUAUUGCGCAAUGGGGGAAACCCUGACGCAGCGACGCCGCGUGGAUGAUGAAGGCCCUUGGGUCGUAAAAUCCUGUCAGAUGGAAAGAAAUGCUAUUGGUUUAAUAUGCCUUUAGUUUGACGGUACCAUCAAAGGAAGCACCGGCUAACUCCGUGCCAGCAGCCGCGGU
rnacentral:rRNA from 1 species